rnacentral:rRNA from 1 species
GACAGAGGGUGCAAACGUUGUUCGGAAUUACUGGGCGUAAAGCGCGUGUAGGCGGCCCUGCAAGUCGGGUGUGAAAUCCCACGGCUCAACCGUGGAAGUGCACUCGAAACUGCAGGGCUAGAGUCCUGGAGAGGAAGGUGGAAUGCUUGGUGUAGCGGUGAAAUGCGCAGAUAUCAGGAGGAACACCGAUGGCGAAGGCAGGUCUCUGGGCCACUACUGGACGCUGAGAAGCGAAAGCAUGGGGAGCGAACAGG